rnacentral:lncRNA from 1 species
GGGGCCUUGGUGUGUCAGCUGUGACUCGUGGUCAGCCAAAGGGCACAUCCUGACCGAUGGGCCGGCUUUGCAGAGGAGGAUGGGAAGGUACCAGGGGCAGUGACGUGUGCGCUUCCUGCUGAGGAGGCGUGUGCAAGGGACUGCGGUGACCAGGGGGCCGCAGUGUGCAGGCCGGAAGCCUGGUGGAGUGUGGGGGCCGUGGGGCCGGGGAGAUGGCUGGAGGGCUGGACGUGGGGUCAGGGACCCUGUUCGUGGCUGCAGAGUUUGGAAGUUGAGUUUGAGGCGGCAGUUCUGGGGCUGGAGCGGAAGCAGAGGCUGUUCGGCGGUGAGCUCUGGGAGUGUCCGCUUUGCGAUGCUCCGUAGCCCUGCACCAGGCGGUGUGAGCCAGCGCGUGCCCCUGAGCCAGUGCUGCGGGUGCGCUGAGGCCUAGCCCCGGGCUCUCAGGAACCCGGGGUGUUCUGCAGAUGCAGGGAUGUGCUGUGACCAGUCUGGGGGCUCAGCGACUCUGGUGACCCUGGAGUCUGCCAGCCACAGCCCCGGUCUCUCCUGGAGCAGCCGCACCCUGGGGAGCUGUGCGCGAGGGUACAGCCCAGGCGCGUGGUGGCUGGGGGGGCGCAGGGCCGUGCGCACGGUGUGUGGCACGGGCGGGAGUGAGCGCGAGAUGGUGCAGAGUGUCUGUCCCCCACGCAGCUCCCCGCUGCCGGCAGUGCCCCUCAGCGCGGCUGUCAAGUCACAGCCCGUGUCCUCAGCCUCCCCCUCUGGUCCCUUCCAUCCCCGCUUGCUGCUAUGUGGUGUCGCUCCAGGGCGCCAUCUGCCUGUCCUGGGGUCUGGGAGGGGUGUUGACGCAGGUGCCUGCUGGGCCUUCGCCAGUGCCCUCCAUCCUGGUGGGCCCGAACUAGGCAGCGGCUGGCGUCGACGUCCGCCUUGGCCCUGCAGGUGCAGUCAUCGCUCUCUCCCAGCAUUUGCCUGGGAGCCGGGGGAGCUCAGGGCUGUGUCCAGCUCUCAGAGGGCCUUCCUCUCUCACCGGCCGCUGCGUCCCCCUCACUGUGCCGCUGGAUGCAGGCGUGCACGCUGGGCACUGCCCCCCGUGAUUGGCUCCUGGUUCCCGUGGCCACGCUGCCCAUGA